rnacentral:rRNA from 1 species
GGGACGGGUGAGUAACACGUGGAUAACCUACCUAUAAGACUGGGAUAACUUCGGGAAACCGGAGCUAAUACCGGAUAAUAUAUUGAACCGCAUGGUUCAAUAGUGAAAGACGGUUUUGCUGUCACUUAUAGAUGGAUCCGCGCCGCAUUAGCUAGUUGGUAAGGUAACGGCUUACCAAGGCAACGAUGCGUAGCCGACCUGAGAUGGUGAUCGGCCACACUGGAACUGAGACACGGUCCAG